GAUGAAGAACGUAGCGAAAUGCGAUAAGUAAUGUGAAUUGCAGAAUUCAGUGAAUCAUCGAGUCUUUGAACGCACAUUGCGACCCCUGGUAUUCCGGGGGGCAUGCCUGUCCGAGCGUCAUUGCCGCCCUCAAGCACGGCUUGUGUGUUGGGCCCCCGCCCCCCGGCUUCGGGGGGCGGGCCCGAAAGGCAGCGGCGGCACCGCGUCCGGUCCUCGAGCGUAUGGGGCUUCGUCACCCGCUCUGUAGGCCCGGCCGGCGCCCGCCGGCGACCCCAAUCAAUCUUUCCAGGUUGACCUCGGAUCAGGUAGGGAUACCCGCUGAACUUAAGCAUAUCAAUAAGCGGAGGA
rnacentral:misc_RNA from 1 species